CCUACGGGAGGCAGCAGUGAGGAAUAUUGGUCAAUGGACGAGAGUCUGAACCAGCCAAGUAGCGUGAAGGAUGACUGCCCUAUGGGUUGUAAACUUCUUUUAUAAAGGAAUAAAACGAGGCACGUGUGCCUUUUUGCGUGUACUUUAUGAAUAAGGAUCGGCUAACUCCGUGCCAGCAGCCGCGGUAAUACGGAGGAUCCGAGCGUUAUCCGGAUUUAUUGGGUUUAAAGGGAGCGUAGAUGGGUUGUUAAGUCAGUUGUGAAAGUUUGCGGCUCAACCGUAAAAGUGCAAUUGAUACUGGCAGUCUUGAGUACAGUUGAGGUAGGCGGAAUGCGUGGUGUAGCAGUGAAAUGCUUAGAUAUCACGAAGAACCCCGAUUGCGAAGGCAGCUUACUAAACUGUGACUGACAUUGAUGCUCGAAAGUGUGGGUAUCAAACAGGAUUAGAUACCCUAGUAGUC
rnacentral:rRNA from 1 species